rnacentral:ncRNA from 1 species
GGAGUUGUUAGUACGGCCCUGUUCUCCACAAAGUCGUAAAAUCAUGUAUGGGGGCUGAAGCCUGUCCAGUGCCGGAAGGUCAAGGAAGUUGGUGACCUGAUGAUAGGGGAGACCAAAGACCCGGUGAACGGCAGACGUAACUUUAACGGUUCUAAGGUGGUGAAAAUCCUUAGCGGGGUUGCUCAUAUGGGAGACCAAAGCCCCAGUAAACGACAGACGUAACUUUAACGGUUCUAAGGUGGCGAAAUUCCUUAAGCGGGGUUGCUUGCAGGGGCGGCA